GGCCACCGUCAAUUGAUAUUGGAUCAAUUGAUAUUGGAGGCACUUCAACUAACACCACCCCGUGCUCUUCCCGAAGGCCAAGUCCACCAUCUUCAUCCUUUCCAAGCCCUAUUCCUUCCUAUCAACCAAGUCCAUCAUCCUCUUCCUUCCCCAGUCCGUCCCGACUUGAUGCUCACAUGUCAUCAAAUCCCUUUUCGUUCAUGCGUUACUCCAACCCAUCAUCUCUCCCACCUCUCCGGAUCUCAAACAGUGCCCCUGUAACCCCACCUCUUUCAUCAUCAACCACCCGAAUUUCUAUGCAAAAUUUCAAUUGGGAAUCCAUUGCCAAACAAUCAGCCUCCUUGAAUUUCCCCUUCUUAGCUGCUUCUGCCCCGACUAGUCCAACUCGUGGUCAACGCAUCACUCCAGCCCCCAUACCAGAAUGCGAUGAGUCUGACUCCUCCACUAUCGAUUCAGGCCAAUGGAUGAGCUUUCAAACGUAUGCACCCGCUAUGAGCCCAACCUCUCCAACUUUUAAUCUUGUGAAACCUGUGACUCAGAAUGUUUCUUCCAAGAAUGCAAUCUCAGAGAAAGGAAAAGGAAUAGAAUUUGAGUUUGAGAGCGUACCCGUGAAGGCCUGGGAAGGGGAAAGGAUUCAUGAGGUGGGAUUAGACGAUUUGGAGCUCACACUGGGUAGUGGGAAUACAAUGAUUUAGUUAGGGAACCAAUUGAAGGAUCUCAUGCGCUGCUCAAUCUACUUGGCAUAUAACUGCAUGUGGAGUUUCGUGGCAGUAUGCCAGUAUCUGUCCAUGGAAGAAUUUGGUUUUAGAUAAAAGGUUUCCAUUGCAAGAAGUUGAAGCUUGAACCAGAUUUGGUUUCUAAUAGGGAUUUGAUUUGCAGAUUUCACCCCAUUAGGUUUCGCAGCAUCAUUGUUCAGUACAAACCCCUGUUUAUAUUGUUGGGGGCUUUUCACAUGCAUUAAUGUAGAUAGUCGUUCUAUUUUACAUUGGUGUCAAGCAUCUUUAUCUCCAUUAUAGCUACUGGGAGAAAUAGUGCAAACUGUUUCAUGGAUUGAUGUUAUUAGGCAUUACUAGCUAUUUUCUCUUAUUGUUCAAAACCUUGCCAUCAGAUUUUUAAAGAUGCUAGCUUUUAAGAGGUGAAAUGUACUAGGGAUUGUUUGUAUUGUUCAUUAUUUGUCCAGAAAAGGUUUGCUUUCAUUGUUAGGGAGUGUAAUCUUUUUCUUCUUCUUUUUCCAUUCUCUUUCUGAUGAAUUAUUGAAAUAAUAUAUGGGGGAAAAACAAAAGUGAUAUGUACAAAUACAAAUUGAGCACUUAUUGUUUGUGUCCCCCUGCCAAAUGGAUUGAGAUAUAUACAUGUGUGUGUUAUAAUGUUGACUAAAUCUUGAAAGAGGGCCCAAAGCACAGAAAAAAUGGAAAAAG
rnacentral:lncRNA from 1 species